UCGGCUACGACUGGGUCCUGCGGGGCGUCG
rnacentral:sRNA from 1 species